rnacentral:misc_RNA from 1 species
GUUGGUGAACCAGCGGAGGGAUCAUUAUAGAGUUGUAAAACUCCCUAAAACCCAUGUGAACAUACCUGUUGCCUCGGCGGGCCUACCCUAUAGUUCUUCGGAGCUACCCGGGAGUGACCGCCGAAGGUCCAAUAAACUCUUUUAUCUCUGUAUCUCUGAGCAAAAAAACAAAUAAGUUAAAACUUUCAACAACGGAUCUCUUGGUUCUG